CACCACCAUUCGCACCCGCCUCCCGGUUUUGACGCUCUCUCCUCUCCCCAUUCCACUACGCCCCGAACAUCCCACCCCCCGACACGCAACGACGGAACGGAGCCAAUUUUCUUCCCCGCCUCCGGAUUUCCCUGCCCCCCGUCCUCUCGUCUCUCGAUCUGAUCGAGGCCACGGCCCGGCGGGAAUGGCGGCCGAGUCGUCGGCGGCGGCCGGCAUGCGCAAGGCGCCCUCCAUGGAGUGGCGCUGGGUGUCCGCGGGGGAGGAGGAGGACGACGAGCUGGAGGGCCGCGGGGCGGGGGGCCCCGCGGCCGUCGGCGCGGCGGGCCGGGGCGGCAGCUUCGAGUCCGAGGACGAGGAGGACAACGGCGAGUACGAGGACGAGGACGAGGAGCAGAGGGAGGCCCGGCAGCGCCUGAUCCGCACCGUGCCCACCGUCGACUGGUUCGACGUCGAGGGCAACGAGGUCUCCGGCGCGCAGCCGCUCGAGGACCCCGAGGAGUUUGAUUUUGGCAGGACAGUAUUUCUUGCUCUUCAGACUCUUGCUGUGGUUUUCGGAGAUAUUGGAAUAAGUCCACUGUAUACAUUUGAUGUCAUGUUCAACAAGUACCCUAUUCUUGAGGAGGAGGAUGUUCUGGGAGCACUCUCACUAGUUCUGUAUACUCUGAUUUUGAUGCCAUUGGUGAAGUAUGUCUUGGUUGUCCUUUGGGCUAAUGAUGAUGGUGAAGUUAUUUUAUGACUCCACAGGCGGUAUAUUUGCCAUGUAUUCUUUAAUUUGUAGAAAUGCAAAAGUGAGUCUCAUUCCAAACCAAGUACAAGCUCAGCCUGAGAAGAGGAUGUCAAGUUUCCGUCUCAAGCUUCCCACAGAUGAGCUUGAGAGGUCCAUAAAAGUAAAGGAGAAACUUGAAUCUUCACUCAUGAUGAAGAAGUUACUUUUAGGCUUAGUACUAUUUGGGACUGCCAUGUUUAUAUCCAAUGGAGUUAUCACACCAGCAAUGUCAGUGCUGUCUGCUGUCAGCGGCUUGAAAGUUGGGAUACCAAAGGCCUCACAAGAUGUUGUGGUGAUGAUUUCAAUUGCACUUCUUGUUGUGCUGUAUAGUCUACAGAGAUAUGCCACUAGCAAAAUAGGAUUUAUAGUUGGCCCUUGUUUGCUGAUAUGGUUUUGCUGCCUUGGAGGAAUUGGCAUAUGCAAUCUCAGUAGAUAUGGAUCGGGAGCUUUUAAGGCGUUUAAUCCUCUAUACAUUUUUUAUUAUUUUGGGAGGAAUCCCUUUCAGGCCUGGCUCUCCCUUGCUGGUUGUCUUUUGUGUGCAACAGGAUCUGAGGCUAUCUUUUCAAAUCUUUGCCACUUUCCUGUACGAUUUGUUCAGUUUAUGUUUGUUCUUCUUGUUCUUCCUUGCCUUGUCUUGGCCUAUUUAGGACAAGCUGCUUUCCUCAUUGCAAACGAAAAGACUCCUGAACAUAUCUUCUUUGCAUCUAUUCCAGGGAAUGCUUUCUGGCCUGUUUUCUUGCUUGCUAAUUUAGCUGCACUGAUUGCCAGUAGGACAAUGACGAUUGCUAUAUUCCAAUGCCUAAAGCAGUCCAUAUCACUUGGUUGCUUUCCUCGGCUCAAAAUUGUCCAUACAUCUCGAAAAUUUAUGGCUAAGAUAUACAUUCCAGUCGUAAACUGGUUUCUGCUGGCUUCCUGUUUGGGCUUUAUUCUGCUCUUCCGAAGCACAUCUGAUGUUGGGAAUGCAUAUGCCAUAGCUGAACUUGGGGUGAUGAUAAUGGCCACGGUCUAUGUUACACUCAUAAUGCUUCUAAUAUGGGAAACCAAUAUUAUUAAGGUCAUCUCAUUCCUUAUCACAUUCCUAUCCUUGGAGCUGAUUUUCUUCUCAUCAGCUCUGAGUAGUGUUGGGGAUGGAGGUUGGGCACUGUUGGUCUUUGCAUCUGGUCUUGUCAUGAUUAUGUUCAUCUGGAACUACGGAACCAAACUGAAGUAUGACAGUGAACUCAAACAGAAGCUUUCAAAAGAUCUAAUGAGAAAACUGGGGCCCAACCUUGGCACAAUGAGAGCGCCUGGACUAGGCUUGGUGUACAGUGAGAUAGUGACAGGAGUUCCUGCAAUUUUUGGUCAUUUUCUGACCGCCCUCCCUGCUAUCCACUCAAUAAUCGUAUUCGUGUGCGUCAGGAAUGUGCCAGUGCCUGCGGUUCCCCAAAGUGAAAGGUUUCUUUUCCAGCGUGUUUGUACAAGGGGCUAUCACAUGUUUCGCUGUAUUGCCAGAUACGGAUACAAAGACAAGAAACAGGAGCACCAUAACACAUUUGAGCGCCUUCUGAUAGAAGGCCUUGAAAAGUUCAUACAGCGGGAGGCUGUAGAGUUGUCCCUACAGAGUGAAGAUGAUGUCGACUCCGAUGAGGAGCCUUCAACCCCUGGACAGAUAAUCACUGCACCAAACGGCAGCCUCUACUCACUCGAUGCCCCUCUCCUGGUGGACUUUACGCCUUCAGUAGACACGAUUCCUGAAACACCCAGUUGCUCAACGCCUCAAGAUCCCUCGUUGGAUUACACACAAAACCUUGAGCUGGAGCUCGCAUUCAUCAAGCAGGCGAAGGAAUCUGGAGCCGUGUAUCUCAUCGACAACCCCAUCGUCAAAGCCAGGAAGGACUCGUGGUUCUUCAAGAAGUUGAUCAUAAACUAUUUUUUCGCGUUCCUGAGGAACAACUGCCGCAGGGCGAUUGUGUCGAUGAGCAUCCCACACUCGAACCUGCUGCAGGUGCGCUUGACCUCUUAUGUCUGAAUGCGGAACCUACUGCUUCAGCACAGUUGUUUUGUUCAUGGCAAUCUACUUAUCCAGUAGAGAUCACACUAACCAUAUAUAAAGGAACAACAAUGGUGAUUGUCGGAAGGCAAAUGCUUAACUUUCCUGGCUUUAUUCAGAAGGUGAUGGCUAGGACAAUAGGAGCCCAUGUCUCCUGUAAGUUUUGUACCGCGUCGAAACGCAGCAGGCAGGCACAUCACACGAUGAUGUAUUUAACCUGUAUAUUUCCCUUGUGCAGCAGAUUGUUGUGUGCUCCUUCGACUCUGUGGGGCCAGUUUUGUUGUUUGCAAAAUGCAGAGUGCUAGCUGAAAAGGAUCAUUAGGUCAUAUAUAUUACAUAUACAUAUGUACAUUUUUACGGCCAUCGAGCAGUGCUGUUGCUUUAUCCUUACCUUUUCUUAUCUGCACUUAUUGGGACUUUUACAGUCUGGCUUCAGUUUCUGUACCCAAAUGCAGCCCCGCAAGGACUGAAUGAAUUUUACUACUUACUCCCUCCCAUCCAUAUUAAUUGUUGCAGACUUGGCACAAUUUCG
rnacentral:rRNA from 1 species